CAGUUGUUUACAAUAAGUGAAGGAAUAGUCUAUGAUCUGAGCUAAUCAAAAAUAAUCUUGCUGAAGGUGAAAUUUAGAAGAUGAUGGGUUAAAUUAUUAUAGAUAGAAAUCAUUUGAAGUGAAUUAAGACAAGAGAUAGUAAGAAAGGAAAGCUAAUAUAUUUGGCAGUUUAAAUUUCCUUUUAGGGGAAUCUGUCCUGUUAUGGAGUUUACACCUUAAAAUUUACUUACUUUUAGAGUCUUGUAUAUCUCUGUUUUAAAAUAUUAUUUGAUCGUUGGAAUAUUAAUAUAGCAAUGCAAGUCAAGGUGCAGAUGAUGGGUAAGGUUGAGAUGGAUUACAAUAAAGAGAUUUAUCAUGAAAUGAGAUUUGAGAAAUUUUAUGAAGGUGGACUUAAGAGUAAGAUAAAAUUAAUAAGUUUAAUUGAGUUGGAACUUUUAU
rnacentral:rRNA from 1 species